rnacentral:pre_miRNA from 1 species
CUAAGUAGUACUGCCGCAGGUAAUGUACUACUUGUGUUACCUGCACUCUACUGCUUAUAC